UCUAUCCGCUAGGGGUGCCGUUAUAUAGGCUGAGAUCAAAGAAUAUUUUUGAGACCCUUGGGACCUGAUCUGGUUCAUACCAGCGUAGGGAAGUGGAAGUGACAGAAU
rnacentral:ncRNA from 1 species